ensembl:lncRNA
GUUUCCCAGGGUAGGGGUUGUGCUCUUUUUUUAUGCUGUUGCUGGUUGUUAAGAUGGUUUCUUUCUAGGUUUUUCACUGUUUGUAGAUGACAUCUUAUAACAGAGAAGCUAAUAGACUACAUUUUUGUACCAAGAGGGAGACAUUCCACCUGCAAAUGUGGAUGCAUCUGAAAAUAUAAUUGCCAGUGCAAGUUCGUUAGUUAUGUACUUUUUGUCCUAGUAUAUGGAUGGCAGGAAGUGUUAGAGCACUUACAAUAUUUGAUAGAUGUGUUCAACACUGAGAAGCUUGUAUUUGUAGUGUUACACCAAUGCUAUCAAGUGGUGAAAUGCAGUGUGGGAUCUCAGCAUAGAUUCAGGGAAGCUUCUGCUGUCUGGGAUCUAUCUCACUCAGCUUUAGCCCCCUAGAUGUGUAGCCAGACUCAUCUGGAUGAGUCCUUGCUGUAACCAGGUGAAAGAAUUGGACGUCUCUAAUGGCCAGUGUUAUAUCUAAAACAUACUCGUAGAUGAUACAUUGAAGAUGCUCUCUGUGACUACAGUGGAAGUUGAAAUACAAGUGAUAGAAGGCCUAGGCCACUUAUUUGGAAUAAAUGUUUGUUUUGUUAGUGUUAAAAGGGGGUAAGAAGAGUCAUAUUUUAACUCACCAUAUGCUCAUUUAUGUAAGUAUAUUACUGUAUUAAAGGAGAUCUAGAUAAAAUGGUAGUUCUGCUUUCUCAUCUCAAGUAUGUGUGGAGGUCUGCAUUAAAAGUUAGUACUUUUAUUAAUUUUUGUUCUUUAUGUCUAAUAUAAUCACAAGUGACUUAUAUCAGACAGGUGCUAUACAUUUUGUUCAAUUGCUUAUGGAAAAAGCUAAAAGUGAUUAGGAAUAACAUAAUGAAAUUUAUUUAUUUUCCCUUAGCUAGAGGAUCAAAUUGAUUACUGUUAUUACUAUUGAAUAUUUCAACAUUAGUGUGUGUUCUUAAAAACAUGCCAUUUGUUUAUGGGGUUGCUGAUUCUCUCAGGAAGGCAAUUUUGCUAUCAAUUUGGUUAUUAUAAGCUGUUGAAAAGAAAUUAAAAUCUGUGCUGAACAAUUCUCAUU